AAUCAACGCUGGCGGCGUGCCUCAGACAUGCAAGUCGAACGAUUAAAGCUCUCUUCGGAGAGUGUAUAGAGUGGCGCACGGGUGAGUAACACGUAAGUAAUCUACCUUCGAGUGGGGAAUAACGUCCGGAAACGGACGCUAAUACCGCAUAAUGCAGCGGCAUCGCAAGAUGACAGUUGUUAAAGAUUUAUCGCUUGAAGAGGAGCUUGCGGCAGAUAGCUAGUUGGUAAGGUAAUGGCUUACCAAGGCUACGAUCUGUAACCGGUCUAAGAGGACGGUCGGUCACACUGACACUGAAUAACGGGUCAGACUCCUACGGAGGCAGCAGUCGGGAAUUUUGGGCAAUGGGCGAAAGCCUGACCCAGCAACGCCGCGUGAAGGAUGAAGUAUUUCGGU
rnacentral:rRNA from 1 species